rnacentral:misc_RNA from 1 species
CCCAUUGUAAGUUUGCAGCCUUUUUCACGUUUUCACAUCUUGUGUUGUGUGGCUCAUUGAAGAGCUGGUACAGCCUGUGAAAAUAAAUAUGCUUGCCUAAAAGCCUUGCACCUUAACUUUGUGACACUUGUCUAUAAAUUGUUCCCUGUAGUGCAGCUUUGUGUGGAAAUGGAACACCAAAUUUGGUUGGCUUUGACAGUUUGACUGGAUUCAUCCUUUAAAUAUUGUGCUUGGUGCUCUAAAGCUAGUUUUAAAGCCAGCCACAGUCCAGUUCGGGCCCAAACCAGACCAGAACCAUUUCCUUCCCUCCUUUAACUAGACUGGGCGGUUCCGUUUUGGGUCCAGUUUGAGCCCACUUUUUUUUCCUUAAAAAAAUGAAAAAAAUUUCAACUGUUAGAUUGACUCAAACUGGAUCGAACUGAAACCAUUUGAACCUUGCAGUUGCGGUCUAGUUUAGGGUCCUUAGUUCCAUGAAUUGGAACUAGCCGGUGGCCAGGACUAGCUAGUUUAAGGUUGUUGUAUUGCUGAAUGUUAACUGCUCAUAUCUUUUAGAAAAAAGUAAAAGCCAAUUCAACUUUAGAAGAAUGUUUAAAUUGAAUAUCACAUGACUUCACACGUCUAUGUUGGAUAUCAAACCUUAACCCAUUCAGCCAUUCUUUUGUCUAACAUCAAAUGAAAAGUGUAGUGUUCUUACAAUUGUUCACACUCAGUUUCAAGCUUAUUUCUCUGGUAAUUGUGUUUUAAUUAUCUCCGAAAGAAAAGUGUGUUGGCUAUUUGUUUCAUUUGCUCCUUUUUAGAUUGAACUUAAAAACUUUCUGGUUUCUUUGUUUUAUUAUUAUAAUUGUUGAUGUUGUUAUUAUCAUAAUUUUU